GGCUGGCUGGAAGGGUCUCCUUCCAGCUGGCGAGGUACUUGUACCUCGAUGGCUGGAAGGGUCUCCUUCCAGCUGGCGAGGUACUUGUACCUCGAUGGCUGGAAGGGUCUCCUUCCAGCUGGUC
rnacentral:miRNA from 1 species